UGGGGAAUAUUGCGCAAUGGUCGAAAGCCUGACGCAGCGACGCCGCGUGAGGGAUGAAGGUUUUCGGAUCGUAAACCUCUGUCAGAAGGGAAGAAACCGCACUGUGCUAAUCAGCAGUGCCUUGACGGUACCUUCAAAGGAACCACCGGCUAACUCCGUGCCACCAGCCGCGGUAAUACGGAGGGUGCAAGCGUUAAUCGGAAUUACUGGGCGUAAAGCGCACGUAGGCUGCUUUGUAAGUCAGGGGUGAAAUCCCACGGCUCAACCGUGGAACUGCCUUUGAUACUGCUUAGCUUGAAUCCGGGAGAGGGUGGCGGAAUUCCAGGUGUAGGAGUGAAAUGCGUAGAUAUCUGGAGGAACAUCAGUGGCGAAGGCGGCCACCUGGACCGGUAUUGACGCUGAGGUGCGAAAGCGUGGGGAGCAAACAGG
rnacentral:rRNA from 1 species